GCCAGCAUGGCAUAGUGGUUUGAGCAUUGGAGUAGGACUCUGGAGACCAGGGUUCGAUUCCUGGCUCAGCCA
rnacentral:tRNA from 1 species